rnacentral:lncRNA from 14 species
AGUCUCACAGGAUACAUGCCCAGGUGUGACUGAAGAGGAGAGCAGCACCCUGCCACCAGGACCUGGGCAGAGUUAGCCCUCUGGAUUAUGGUAAUGUU